CCGCGGAGAGCAGAGUUGUCAGUAUCAACUGAGGUCACCAGGAGCACUUUACAAACAACACGGGCAUCUCUGAGAGUCUGGAGAAAGGAUCACACUAGGCAGAUGGAGAAGAUGGCAUCCGGGCAAGGAGUCAUAGGUGAGAGUGUGGAGGUCAAAUCUGCCUGGUGAGAUGUGGAUGCUGGCCUGAGGACUGGGGGCCAACUCUUGUAACAGAGUGGUAAGAAGCCAGCUCUGGUGAGAGAGGGCACAUAUAAGGUACAUCUCCUGGAGUCUUCCCUGAGAAAGAGGUGCAGCAAAGAGCUCUCACUCCCCAGGGCAGAGCCAUCUGUACUCUCAGAAGGCUGAGAACAUGGGCCCCUGUGGCGCUGAUGCUUUUCCCGUGUCCUCUGCUGGACAUGUCCUGGGUCAAGAGAGGUACUGCCCAGGGUUCUACUGGGGGUGGUGGGGGUGGGUAGCAUGGGGGCUGUCUCCUCAGACACCACGGAGCACAGUUCCCUGGGACCCCUCCAAACAAUCUGGGGGCAGCCGUGUGCCUGGCAUGCCACCCCUCCAGAUCCCUGGAUAUGUAAGGUGCCCCCACUGCCUAGUGAGGGCACCUGGGCUCAGAAGGAUUCUGUGCCUGGCCCAGAGAGCUCUGCAAAAUCCAGCCCUGAGCCUUCACCCACAGAAGUUCAGAUCUUCACACUGAGGCUAGGCAAGGAGCGUAAGGAGCAUUUCAGGCAUUGAAAAACCUCACUGUGAUCAGAUGGAAGAUACCAGGGGCAAGAAAGGGGACCUUCAGGACAUUUGAACCUGAGAAUCAGAGAGAUAAGGGUCCACAUUCCAGUUCUGAGUUUCCCUAUCCAUGAAAUGGGAAUGUUGUUAACAUGACCUGCCAAAAAGGAGUUAAUGGAAUUGCAUAUAUAUAUAAAGCAUUUCUGGGGCAAAGAGGUGUUCAGCAAAUGUUUACUUUGACUUAUCUUCAUGAACACUUUCAUCAGGAAGCCCAUCAAUUGUGUGUCAUGACAAGUGGCUCUGGGGGUGUUCAACUCCCCUCUCUAUGUUCUGUGUGCUGGUGGGGACUUCAUGAAAUGCCAGAGCCAGACCUGAGCCACGAACCCAUCCAGGGCUGGGGUGCAGCAGGCAAUCCAUUAUCCACAGUCAGCCAGACAUGUCACCUCCCAGCGAGGAAUGCAGAUGAAAGUCCAUUUCAUCAUGAAACUAGACACCAGGCCACUUCCUGCCAAGAGCACCCCAAGUGCACCCCUGCUCUGGCCUCUGCCCUCUGCCCUUGGAUUGUUUAUAUACUGGGGCUGGGGUCAGAGCCCAGAGGAGCUUAUGGGUUCAGAAAAUGACAACCAGAUCCAGUCAGACACACACGUGUGUUAGGGACAAGGAAAAUUGUUGGAGGGCUCCAGGGGAAUGACUUUAUGCCAGCAAAAGGCCACCAGGUCAGGAGGAAGAAGCAAGAGCCCAGCCCCUGCACGGCAGCCACCAGUGCUGCUCUGCCCAGCUGCAGUGGGACGGGGUAGACAGAAGCCGCCUGCAUGCAGGGACAAGGGAAGAACACACCCACCCUUUUCUCCAAAAAGCCUGCUGCCCAGAUGGAGAGACAGGACAGACACCUCAGAACCUUAAAACCACCACUGAGGCAGCUACGAUUAUUGCAAGUCAAAGCGAACCAUCAACAGUGUCUUGUGAAGCAGUCUCUACCUUGAUCCAGGCCACCAUUUACAAAGGGCUCUCAAGAGUCUGUUUUAUUUCAUUUCCAUUAACAAUCCUCUUUUCUCAUUCCUCCCCUUUCACCCACUAGGAGGAGGAGGCUCAGCUGGCUCAGAGAUGCUCCAAGGACACAGAUCUAGUAAGGGGCUCUGCUGCGCCCCCAACCUGUACCUGGGGGUCCUGGGUUCUUGCCUCUCUGUUGCAGCUGUCCCUCCCCCCAAGAGAGCUCCUGACCCCUGCUGUCCCCUGGCCCUCCUCCUCACAUUCCUAGCAUACCUCCUGUCAGUGCCCCACUCCUGGCUUUCCCCACCCAGGACUUACAACAUUCUUUAAGGCUUCCUGGUCCUCCUGCUGCUGCCUAGUCCAGCGUCCUUCCUGACCCCCAUCCUUGAGUUGGGUCCUGGACUAGCUCAUGGAAGAGCUGAACCUCCUCGCAGCCCUGGAUGGAGAAACAGUGGCCUACGCCCUCUCCAUUGGGCUCCCCAGUCCUCCCAGUGGCACUCAAGAAGCGCUGUCCACUAGAGUUUGGCAUGAUGAUGGAAAUGGUCUACGCCUACCUUGUCUGACAUGGUAGUCACCAGCCGCCUGUGGCUUUGGAGUCACUGAGUGUGGCAAGUGCAACUGAAAAACUGGAUUUUUAAUUUGUUUCUAAUUAAUUUAAACUUAAAUGUAGAUAGCCACACCUGGUUGGUGGCUUCUGUAUUGGACCAGAGGGUGUAUUAAGUCUGUCAUCCAAAAAAAAUAUCAAAUGUGCACUCUCUGGAUAUUAGAUAGCAAAGAAUAAUGGAGACCCUUCCAGGUCAUCUUGGUUAAUCCCUUCCUUCUUGUGAUGGAGAAAUAGAGGCUCAGAGAGGGGAGAUGACUUGCCCAAGGUCACACAGCUGGUUGCCAAGCUGGAGUGGCUAAGCUAGGUUUUCUGGCUCCCAGUCCCCCCUCCCUCUUUUCCAAGCACCUUCCAACAACCAGUACUUGUAUACCUGGGGUAUUGCAGCUUAGCCACCCAUACCCCCUCACUACUUGACUGCACCCCCACUCACCCAAGAAGCCUCUUUCAGCCAGGAAUCCGAGCAGCUGACUUCCAGCCAAUGCUGGGUUGAUGGCAAGAUCCACUGCAACUGGGAAGCUUGUAACACACACACAUCCUCUUUCCAGGGCCCAUGGAUUCAGCAGAGGAAAGACAGCCAAAAUCCAUGUUUUCACACUCUCCCUGAGGGACACUGAGGUCAGGCAAGUGCACUAAGUGACCAGCUCCAGGACUCCUACAACCAAGGGAACCAGCAGGUGGGACCCGAGCCGGAAGUGCCAAUCAGAGGGCUGGGGGCACCUCUAACUGCACCUGAGAAGCACUGAGCCCAUCGGAGACUCUCAGGAUUUUAAACCAAGACCUGGGAAGAUAGCGUGUUGGCUAAUAGUGAGCCGGAAGCGGUCAGAGACCAGGGGGUGGUGCCAGGCCCAUGGUGAGCUAACCCCAAGGGAUGCCCAAAUUAUGAGGCAACAGACAAGACACAGGAGAGGUCGGGCACAGUGGGGCAGGAAGAGGUCUGAGGGCAAAUGUGCAGGGGAGGCAGCGGUGGGCUGCCGGAAAGCAUCUCAUUUCUGGGUCCACCCACCACUCGCGCCACCACGCACUUGCCUCCUUACCUGAGGCAACCUGGAUCCCUCUUAAAGAUUGGAGGUCCAAGGGAGCCUCAACUAAAUGUCCCCUCACCCCCCACAUUCUCAGGGCUUGGCCCCCAGGUGAACUCUGAAUGGCCUUGGGCUGUGACUCUGACCCCUGUCCCUCAAGGAGAAGAUCCCAUGUGGCCCUUCCAGCAGGGACUGAACACAGGCAGAAAGCUAUCAUCCACUUUACCGAACACCAGGGCAAAACUGCUCUAAUCCUAGGACACCCCUGUGGGUGCCUUUUGAGAGAGAAACAUCAACCAAUAGGACAAGAUCUGGAAGGCGGCUGUGGCUUCUAAUGGAUUGACUCAGAUGGGUUCAUGCUUCUACUCUAAUGACUCCACCGCCGGGAGGACCACGUCUCUGCUGGGGUCACAGCCUCGGGUGGGCUGCCUCAAGUGUGGUCCCGGGGGCCCAGGAUGGGGCAGCCUGUACCCAGCGUGGGGAGAAGGGGGAUGGAGCUCCCGGCAGGCGGGUCACGACGCGGGGCGCGCAGCUCUAUUUAUAGAAAGUGGCUGCUGCGAAGGAUGAAGAACUGGGGAGAACCGGCUCAGCGGUAUUUUCCAAGCUCACGCUGUCUCGGCUUAAUUUCAUCCCAAGCAAAUAAAUCAUUAAGGAGGCACCGAGUCCUGGAAGAUCUGAUGAAGAAGGGCCAUUAAACGGCACAGCCUUAACUUGAAUUAUGGAAGGCCUCAGACAAGCAGCCUUAUUAGUGUCUGGGCUAAGCCGUAACUCAUGCUAACCGCCCCCUUGCCUUAACCAAGUGACGAGACAGGGAGGGUCAGCCGGCUCCCCUGCCGCAGGCACAGCCCAGCAGGCUGUCUGCUCUCCCCAUGUUUUAAAUACCCUUCUGCAAACGUGCUUACUCUAUCCACUGCCACCCCAGCUGCACCCACUCCCCGGGGCAGGGAUGAGGAUGGAUGGUCUGGCUGUUGGUGUAAGAGUGUUCACAGGGCCGUGGGAGCUGACAACACCAGCACUGGAAAACCCUUCUGAUGAGCACCCAAGCACCGAGGUCUGGGACCACCUACAGAGCAACGGAAGACUCACAUGACCCCGUGCGUCAUGGAGGUGAGAGAUGUGGGUUCAAAUCUGCAGGCUGGCUGUCUCCCAAGCUCCUGCCCUGAGCAGGCUCCUCAUCUCCCUUGGCCUCAGUCUCCUCACGUGGGAAGUGGGAUGGCAACGCCUUCUCAUCUGUGGAUGAAAUGGGAUAACGUGCAAGGGAUGCUCACUGGGUUGGCAGGGGCCUGGGGCGGUUUAAGUCGGAUGAUGCACCCACUGUGCUAAGCAGUGUCUGGUCUCUUGUUAAGUGCUCACUUGAGGGCUGUUUAACACAGAGCUGUUUCUAUUUGCAGUAAUCCCUUCCCAAAAGAAGUUGCCCUCACGGGAAAUUCAUGGAUGAUAGUGCGGAUUCACUUGGGUACAUCUCGCUGGCAACUGUGAGAAUUUGGUCUCAGGACACAUAAACUGAGUCCCGCAGUGGUUGGGGAGGACAAGAACACGAGAGAAGUGGGGCGGGAUGGGGGCGGGUGGGCUGCGGGGAGGGGCGGGGGGUGAGGGGGAGUGCACAGGACUCGCCCUUGCAUCAGCCAGGAGGGCGGCAGGCAGAGAGCCAGGCUAGGCAACCCUGGGUCUUGCUGGGGCGGGGGAAGCGGGCCAUUUCCAACAAAGAAAAGAGGUCAGCAUAGGCCAAGGGGAUUAGCCGGGCUGCAGCAUCAGAGUGGGGUUAGGCAGGGGGAGGAGAUGGGGAGGAAAGGGAGUGGGGGCCUUGCACGUGGAGUCUUUGCCCACGCGCCCAGUUCACUGCCCCUUUCAGUGGCACCCACCCUAGUCGCACCGAUGCCCAUUGGCAGAGGUGAGAACAAACAGGCUGGCUGUGCUGUAGUUGAGGGUGUUCAAAUACACUGGCAGCCUGCUUCAGGAAACCCUUCUGCUAAAGACUGCCCGAUGCCUCGUCAUGAGCAUCACCAGGAGCUCGUCAGAAAGGCACAGCCCGGAGCCCUGCCCAGACCUGCUACGUCAGAAGCUGGUUUUAACAAGAUCCCCAGCUGACUUGAGUGCGCACGAAGGUCUGAGAUGCUCCGCUGACAGCAAGUCUAUGGGAAAGUCCCAGCAUCACACCCGCUGCACAGGUCUGAGAAGUCAGGAAACCUAUGCCUGGGCCA
ensembl:lincRNA